GCACCGUGUAAUCCACAGGCAGCAUCUGGUCGCAAAAAACCUGAGUGGUAGACUACACAAAUCAAUGAGUACUGUUAUCACAGCAAUAAAUAAAAUCAAGGCACAUGCCCUCAAUUCCCGACUGUUUCGACAGCUGUGCACUGAUAAUGAUGAAGAGUUUGAACGUUUAGUUUAUUUUUGGUUACAAAAAAAAAUCUCUGACUGCUAUCAAGUGCUGUGGAACAAGGUCAAGAUGUACUUCAUUGCCUUCCCAACAUCAUAUUUAGUAGAACGGGGCUUCAGUGCAGUCACCUUGCUUCUUUCCAAGCAAAGAAACCGACUGAAAAUUACUGACCGCGGGGAUCUACGACUUCUUCUUAGUGAGUUCCAGCCUGAUGUUGAGAAGCUU